rnacentral:lncRNA from 7 species
GUCUUGCAGGAAGGAGCGUUAUUUCUCAACAUAGAACACACAGAAGACAGAAUUAACUCCAUGAUAUAGCUGCAUUACCACCCUGCUAUUCACUUCCUGACUUCAGCUCAAGUGCCUACAGGCCCUGUCCUACUAAGCUCUGUACAAGGCCUGACAUUUGACACCCAAGACCCCAGGACUUACACAGAGGCACAAGCGGAGGCCCUGGGGAAGAGCUCCAUGGUCACAGGACACCAGCUUUGGCCGUACUACAUUGUCAUUCAUUCCUCCCUGCCACACGCGUGCCUGCCCAUAUAGGAAAAUGAGUUUACAACCGACUACGCCUAUGGGACUCCCGGAGGGAUACAAUGUGAGAGCCUUUACUAGUGGUGGAUGGUCCUCAAAAGGUUUGAAAGUUUGCAAAUCCCAUUUAAGAGUGGUGCCUUCUUUAAGAGUAUCCCAUCCACCCAUGCAGGCACACUGAUGUGACAUAUUGUGACACAGAAUGCCACAGAAAAUUAAGCUGAGCCCUCCAACUGAAGACUUGAUUUAGCCAUACAUCCUCCACAAGACACCAUUUAAAUUAACUGUUGUAGAUUCAAGCAAAGAAAACGAUAAUUCAUCUGGUGUAAGAAGGUGUGUAGAAACAGUGUGCUUCUAUUGGAAAAAAAUCUGCAUAGUAUAUUCUUAAAAUAUAUUUCCCAUUCUUUAUGCAAAGGUAAAUAAAUACAGCUGCAAGAAAUGCAGUACAUUUUAAAGAGGGGAUUACAAUGAUUUUUCCUUGCUGCAUAUUAUGCAUUUAUGCAUACACAACAUACAGUCUUAGCAAUUGCAUCUAUGUAUGUGUAAGUGUGCAUGCAGAUAUACUUCUAGAUAUAUAAAAGUUUUCUUCUUCUAACUUUCAGUAGAGGAAUAGCCAUACACAAAUAGCUUGGGUAUAAAUUACGACAAUUUUAUUUCUGUACAAUGAAAAAAAAAAUGAAAGGAAGAAUGAGGAUGAUUCUGUAACUGGAUAGUAAAAUGGGCAGCCAUGUUCCAGCCUACAUCUGAAGCAUUAGAGUGUUUAUGAACAAUGACUGGUCUAGAGGUUAUUGCAAGCUCCUGUCUUUCUGGGCUUAGAUCCUAACAUAGAUCCAAUGGCUAACAGCCCCUAACGUUAUGUACCUCCUUUUCCAAUCCUCGUUUCCCAAAACCUCAGAGACUUGCAGAAGUUCCUGUGCUGAACUGAUCUAAAAUACUGCGAUCAUUUAUCACUGGGUUCUGCUUUUUGCCAUGCUUAAAAAUUUGUGCAAUAUAUAUCAGGUGUCUAUGGGUUUUGGCAUGGUGUUGGGUCAUCAAAGCGAUUUGGCAUUGUUUAGACUGCAAAAUAACACACAGGGUCAAGAGCAGUCAAUACUAGUCCUAUAAAUUAUUGUCCAGACUCUCAUAAAUUGUCCUCUAAUUUGUGGCUUG